UAAGAGAGUUGAGAGAACAUACAAGUCAAAAACCUGUAAUUAAGUGGUUGCCGUUUGUUGCUGUAUUGCAUAUUUGUUUUUCGUUCAUUGUAUUGUACAUGAAUUAUACCGUUAGUCUUCUCGUUUAAAUUGUUUUACAUUUGUCAUUUCGGGGACUGUUAGCUUACUAUGUGGCUUUGCUCAUUCUUGAGGAUCGUAGGGCUAACUAUAGUUAAAAUCUGUGUCAUUUUGUCUCUUUUGAAGUUUUGUCUCAUUGGCAAUCAUACCACUUCUUCUUUUUUUUUUAAAUGUAAAUAUUAUUUAUUAGAACACUAAAAAUCCAGCAGCAAUAGAGAGCGACUAAUAAUGUUUAAACAAUAG
rnacentral:lncRNA from 1 species